rnacentral:tRNA from 1 species
CAGGGAGACAACAAAAUGUUUAAUAUUAUUUUGUCACCUUAGGUCGAUCGGUAUCUCACAUUCUUAAUUUAUUAAGAAUUUCAUUUUCUAAGUUUUUCUAGGUCACACCCAUUAUUUUCCUGGGCCAUUAGCUCAGGUGGUUAGAGCGCACCCCUGAUAAGGGUGAGGUCCCUGGUUCAAGUCCAGGAUGGCCCAUAUCUCUAUGUUGGGGGUAUAGCUCAGUUGGUAGAGCGCCUGCUUUGCAAGCAGGAUGUCAGCGGUUCGAGUCCGCUUACCUCCACUGAUUACCACCUCUUCCAUAAUCUGUAGAAAGGAAAAUUUUUUGAGUUGUGAUCAUAUUUCUGAACGAAUCUAGCUUCCUAAUUAAACUUAUUAAGAUGCUGGACUCAUUGAAUUAAUUUCAUUGUUUUCAGAGAACCUUGACAACUGCAUAGAUUAUUUUUAAAGACAAUAAGCAUCUUUAAUGAUGCAGAUUUAUUAUUUGUGCAAAUGCAUUAAUAACAAUUCUAUUAAGCUGAUGCUUCAAUUUUGAAGUUAUU